rnacentral:rRNA from 1 species
CUCGAGGGGAGCUACGACCGCGAGGCUGAAACUUGAAGGAAUUGACGGAAGGGCACACCAGGGGUGGAGCCUGUGGCUUAAUUUGAAUCAACACGGGGAAACUUACCAGGACCAGAUGUUUUUUAUGACUGACAGGCUUCGGGUCUUUCAGGAUAUUGCUUUUGGUGGUGCAUGGCCGUUGGUGGUGCGUGGGUUGACCUGUCUAGCGUUGAUUCAGCUAACGAGCGAGAUUAUCGCCAAUUAUAUAGCUCGCAUUGGCUUCAGUGUUGAG